rnacentral:rRNA from 1 species
GGUAACAGGAAGCAGCUUGCUGCUUUGCUGACGAGUGGCGGACGGGUGAGUAAUGUCUGGGAAACUGCCUGAUGGAGGGGGAUAACUACUGGAAACGGUAGCUAAUACCGCAUAACGUCGCAAGACCAAAGAGGGGGACCUUCGGGCCUCUUGCCAUCGGAUGUGCCCAGAUGGGAUUAGCUAGUAGGUGGGGUAACGGCUCACCUAGGCGACGAUCCCUAGCUGGUCUGAGAGGAUGACCAGCCACACUGGAACUGAGACACGGUCCAGACUCCUACGGGAGGCAGCAGUGGGGAAUAUUGCACAAUGGGCGCAAGCCUGAUGCAGCCAUGCCGCGUGUAUGAAGAAGGCCUUCGGGUUGUAAAGUACUUUCAGCGGGGAGGAAGGGAGUAAAGUUAAUACCUUUGCUCAUUGACGUUACCCGCAGAAGAAGCACCGGCUAACUCCGUGCCAGCAGCCGCGGUAAUACGGAGGGUGCAAGCGUUAAUCGGAAUUACUGGGCGUAAAGCGCACGCAGGCGGUUUGUUAAGUCAGAUGUGAAAUCCCCGGGCUCAACCUGGGAACUGCAUCUGAUACUGGCAAGCUUGAGUCUCGUAGAGGGGGGUAGAAUUCCAGGUGUAGCGGUGAAAUGCGUAGAGAUCUGGAGGAAUACCGGUGGCGAAGGCGGCCCCCUGGACGAAGACUGACGCUCAGGUGCGAAAGCGUGUGGAGCAAACAGGAUUAGAUACCCUGGUAGUCCACGCCGUAAACGAUGUCGACUUGGAGGUUGUGCCCUUGAGGCGUGGCUUCCGGAGCUAACGCGUUA